AUUGAACGCUGGCGGCAUGCCUUACACAUGCAAGUCGAACGGCAGCACGGGUGCUUGCACCUGGUGGCGAGUGGCGAACGGUGAGUAAUACAUCGGAACGUACCUUAUCGUGGGGGAUAACGCAGCGAAAGCUGUGCUAAUACCGCAUACGCCCUGAGGGGGAAAGCGGGGGAUCGAAAGACCUCGCGCGAUUAGAGCGGCCGAUGCCUGAUUAGCUUGUUGGUGGGGUAAAAGCCUACCAAGGCCACGAUCAGUAGCUGGUCUGAGAGGAUGAUCAGCCACACUGGGACUGAGACACGGUCCAGACUCCUACGGGAGGCAGCAGUGGGGAAUAUUGGACAAUGGGCGAAAGCCUGAUCCAGCCAUUCCGCGUGAGUGAAGAAGGCCUUCGGGUUGUAAAGCUCUUUCGGCAGGAACGAAAAGGUGCGGGCUAAUAUCCUGUGCUCAUGACGGUACCUGAAGAAGAAGCACCGGCUAACUACGUG
rnacentral:rRNA from 1 species